GGCCCCGUAGCUCAGCUGGAUAGAGCAGCACCCUCCUAAGGUGACGGUCGGGGGUUCAAAUCCUCCCGGGGUCG
rnacentral:tRNA from 1 species